CCUUUCUAGUCCACGCUCAGGUGACCGAGAGAACGCACUCAGCUCAGUGGCGUCGGAGAUCCCCGGAUCUUCAAAGUGUGAUCUGCACUGAGCCGUCAUUAUGAAAUAAAUAACGUGACGGGAUUAUGAUCGGUUUAUCAAAAGCGGAAUAUGACACAGGCGAAGUUUUGACAGGUGUGGAAGAAAAAAGCUUCUGGACACUUAAGGCUAAAAUCCCCUUGACUAGAUCUCAAUCUACAUUAUCUCAGAAGUGCUCCUGAACCCUCUGAAGAUGUGGAUAUUUUCUGCUUUACGAAAUACUGUGUCUCCAGCAGCCGCUUUCAGCAGCAGUCUGGCUGAGGUAGGUGGAAAUUCUAAAUCUGUUCUGUCUUUCCUCUGGGUUUCUGUGCUUUAUUGAGAGUGGAUGGCCCCAUGUGUAACCAAAAAUGUAUGUGUAUCUGCCUGUUUUUGUGUUUCAAACUGAGCUUUCUGCAAUGAUUGGCUCUGAAUUCAUGCGUGGGCAAUAGUUUCUGCAUACUGAUUGGCUGUUUAGUAUUGUGUAUAGAUUCACUUGGCAAAUUCACAGCUAUGGUGUGUGUGAUGCACUGAUUUAGGAUCCUGGUUGUAAAGAUUUAUACAUGCUGAUGCUGAGAUAGAGAACAUCUCUUUAAACCUUUUGACCACUGAGAAUAAUAAUGAGAAUAAAAUAUGCAUUAUUUUUUGUGGUGUCAUUAUUAAGCUAGCAUAUAUUUAUUUAUUUAUUUUUAUUUAUUAUUUAAAAAAAAAAGAAAAAUUGUCUUUGCAUAAUAAUCUGUAUUGGUUUUGAUUGAUAUAAAACAGUACUGAUCAACCUCAAAUCAAAUCUUCUUCUGUAGGCUUAAAUCAAGAUCAAAUGCUUGAAAAGUGCUUGGAAUUAGUUUCGUAGAAAAAUAAAAUUUGUGCCUAUGUAUUUAAAAAAAAAAAAAAAAAACUAACAUAUUCAUUUCGAAAAAAUGUUAAAUGCAUGAGUUUGACUGUGAAUGAACUGAAAAAGCCUACACUGUUUUAAUGGUAUCCCAGCAUUCAUUUCAUAAUGGUUGAGAGAAUAUUCAGAGUGUGCAAAAAUAUAUGCAAAAUAUAAGCUUUUUAAAAAUGUAAUUUAAAAAAAAUUAAUACUUUUUUUUUUAAACGCUGUCUUCAGACCACAUGGAUUAUUGAGAAUGCCAUUAUUAAUGCCUUGUCUCAUCCUUUAGACAACACACACACACACGCACACACACACACACACCAAAGAAGCUAUAGAUAAUACUUCCUACGCACAUUUUUGACUAGAGACAGAGAGUGCUUUGUAUCCAUGUAUAAUCACUGGUGCUUGCACACACAUUUGGUUGAAGCCAAUAGCUGUUAUCUCAAUGCUUAUUGCUGUGGGUCUGUUUAUUGAUUUGAUAAAAAUAGCUCGGCAUAUACAGUAGAGAGCAGGUGAGUUGCAGUACUGCAAUAUUUCUUUAUUUUAGGAAGCAUUACAUAAGACGCAACAUGUAUGAUAUUGCAUAGCACACAAAGAUCAAAUCCACAUGGUGUUAAUCAUUCGCAUUUAGUUAUUAUUGCAACAGACCUCGCUUGGAAGGCUUUGAUUUUCUAAAGAUUACA
rnacentral:lncRNA from 12 species